rnacentral:sRNA from 1 species
AGUUCCAGGCUCUCCUGCCUCUCCAUGGACUCUGCGGGAAGUUAGAGCCUCUGAGUGCGCUCCGGGGCCCGGCGAGAGGAUGCGCAAGGUGGAGAGCCGCGGGGAAGGGGGCAGAGAGGAACUGGGAAGUAACAGCCCUCCACAGAGAAACUGGAAGGGAAUUGCUAUUGCUCUGCUGGUGAUUUUAGUUGUAUGCUCACUCAUCACUAUGUCAGUCAUCCUCUUAACCCCAGAUGAACUCACAAAUUCAUCAGAAACCAGGUUGUCUUUGGAAGACCUCUUUAGGAAAGACUUUGUGCUUCACGAUCCAGAGGCUCGGUGGAUCAAUGAUACAGAUGUGGUGUAUAAAAGCGAGAAUGGACAUGUCAUUAAACUGAAUAUAGAAACAAAUGCUACCACAUUAUUAUUGGAAAACACAACUUUUGUAACCUUCAAAGCAUCAAGACAUUCAGUUUCACCAGAUUUAAAAUAUGUCCUUCUGGCAUAUGAUGUCAAACAGGUAAAGGAGUGAUCUUCUUUGAGAAUACUUUUUUUUGUGAUGCAUUGGGGUGACAAUGCAUAAUUUUACUCAGCUGUAACUCACCUAAGCAAAAUCUGGCAUGUCUAGUAACUACCGGAGGACAGUAAUGACUACUUUGCACAAAAGAUGUUUGAAGAUAAUGUCCAAACAUCUUCCAUAUCUGUACAGCAAAUAAUUGGGACAAUUUGCCAAGUGCCUGUGCUGAUCCAAGUCCAUCUCUUGGCAGAGGAGAAUGUGGCAGAGUUUAGCAAAUCCAACAAAUGCGGGCUUGUGAAAGUUUCAAGAUAAGCCUUACCAUAUACUUGAGUGUUUCAUGUGUGUACAGAUUAGAGACUUUUCUAGUGGCUGUGCCUAGAGCUUCAGAUGUGUUUAUUGGGAAGGCAACUGCUGAAA